rnacentral:rRNA from 1 species
UACGAAGGGACCUAGCGUAGUUCGGAAUUACUGGGCUUAAAGAGUUCGUAGGUGGUUAAAAUAGUUGGUGGUGAAAUCCCAGAGCUUAACUCUGGAACAGCCAUCAAAACUUUUUAGCUAGAGCAUGAUAGAGGAAAGCAGAAUUUCUAGUGUAGAGGUGAAAUUCGUAGAUAUUAGAAAGAAUACCAAUUGCGAAGGCAGCUUUCUGGAUCAUUGCUGACACUGAGGAACGAAAGCAUGGGUAGCGAAGAGG